AUGAAAAAAUCUGGUCCUUCUCAGCAGCAACAACAGGCAAUUUCUGAAACAAAAGAGGCAAUUCAUGGGAAUGCCAAAACACAGGUGGUAAAGAGUACACCAUCAAGCUCAGUAGAACCCCCGUGCAGCAAAGUUGGAGAUCAGGCAGUACCUACAGGAGUAGAUCCAAAGCAGUCGGGUAGAUUUCAUUCCCAAUGUCAAGCAAGUGGAUCACAUAUUCUGGCAACUCAGUCCAAGGAGGAAGCAAGACCAGCUGUUUUUCAGGCAAGUUCUGUAGAGGAAACACUAGACCCCACAAAAGUAAGGCCAGUUCAAUUCAAGAAGGGACCCACAGUGCUAGUAAGCACAGGAAACCACAGCGGAACACAACCACUAGGUGACUUAAAUGGUCAAGUGCUUCCCCCGUCUCGGGGAAAUGUGAUGCAGUCAGCCAAUGGUAUCCAGAGGGCCAAGGUGCAAGACUUCAAGGCAUCACCUGAGGCUCCAGCAUUAAAUCAUGCAGGACACAAAAAGGAGAAAGAGAACAUCCCUCCGGUGUCAUGUAUGGAGAUCAAAAGGAUACAAGACCUUCCUGAAGCUGUAACCAUGGGAAAAAGUCCAGAACAAAAGUUGCUAAGAGCCCUAGGGAAAUUGCCUGUCUGCUCAACUGUACUUGCCCAACCUGAGGCCACAAGUGUUCCAGAAGCAGUAGAAGCAACUGGCCAGGGGAACAUUCACCAUUUCUCUGAUGUGGAGGAGCGGUACCAUGAUUUCAUGCGUGUUAGUGGGAAGACAAGCAAUGCACUAGAAAUCAAUGUUCUAGAUGUGAGUGAGCUGUUUGCAAGGUGUGUUGAUACAAAUAGCAAGAAUGCCCAAUACAACUUCAUAAAUCACAGUUCAGCGAAUAAAGAUAAACAACAUUUUGAGCAAAGGGACACCGAAAGAUCAAAUGAGUUUUUCAGAGAGUACUGCCCAGCACCAAGUUUCGAUCUAGGCAUAGAUGAUUUGCACACAAGAUCUGCAGACAACAUAGCACAUCAGCAUGUUGGGUCAAGCACAUUUGCAGAGCAUGAGUUCGAGGAACUCCCAGUAUGUAACCAGCCAAUCAUCGAUAUAACCGACGAUGAUUAUCUGUUGGACGUCGAAGGCAUAGAUGAACCGUGUGUUCAAGCAGAAGGAAAUGCAUACCAAACACCUGAAAAAAGUUCCAACCAAGGAGAAGUGGGGUCAAUCAGCAAGGUUUACAGCAGUAGUAGUUCAGGAGAGAUGCAUCCACAUCAAUUCGAGAGAAGGAUUAUCAAGCCACCUCCUUGCAAGAGGUCACCUUUCAUUGACUAUAAUGAGAAGAAAGUUUACAUGUCCAAACCCGAAGCAAAUAGAUUGUAUGCAUCAGUUAUUUUGCAUGGAAGAAUUGAUGAAGAAGAAUCACUAGGUGUGGAUACCAGCGCAAGGGUAAUUGAAUAUGGAAAAUACUUUGUCACGGUCAGGGAGCUCGCAAACUCAAUGAAGAAGGAAGGUUUUGUCUUGAGCCAUGUAAUGGAAGUUGGUAUAGAGACUAUAAUGAUGAACUUGCCACCAGACUCAAAGAAGCUCGUGAUGCCCGUUAGGUUCUCGGUUCAGAUGCAAAACAUGGAAUUGAACGGCAAGGAGCUCAUUUCCCGGUUCAAGAAGUCGAAUCGCUUGGACCGUAAAGACAUGAUUAUGUUCCCAGUGUUAGAGAACAUCGACAAGACAAAACCUAAAACAGGCAAUCAUUACUGGAUUUUUAACGUGAACAUAAGGGAUCAACGUUUUGAAACUCUUGAUUCUUGGAGGACGCUCAAAAACAAGGCUUUAGAUGUUUGCGCAAGGAAAAUGGUUGCAAGUUUUCGGUCUCUAUGGGAAGAGCAUUACGCCAGUUCCCGCGUCUCGCUGGAUGACUUUGGGCUUACCAACAUCGACGUUCCAAAACAAAAUAAUGAGUCCGACUGUGGUGUUUUUGCUCUGACGCUAGCAAACGGUUGGGAGGCAAGGGCUGUUCCAAAUUUCACAGCUGAGGAUAUUCCAAGCAUCAUGAUUUUGGGGAAGCAAGCAUCCUGCUUCUAUGAAGUGUCUUCAGAAUGGAAUUCACUCCCAAAUCAGAGAGAUUAG
rnacentral:rRNA from 1 species